ACCGCCGAAACGAGCCAAAGCAACUAACGGCUAUUGGAUGCCUUCCGGAACGGGAACGUGAAACUGAAGAUCUGGCAAAGUAUAUUGAAGACAUUUUAUCGGAAAAUGGUUCCGGUAGUUUGUACAUAAGUGGCCCUCCUGGAACGGGAAAAACAGCUACUCUCACCAGGAUUAUAAGUGAUCAAAAGCUGGCUAGCAAACUUAACAUGGUUUACGUAAACUGCACAUCAAUCAGCACUGCUGGGGGUAUCUAUAAGAAAAUAAUCGAAGGACUGAAGCUUUCGGUUGGUGGAACAACGGAGAAAUUCUAUCUAAAUAGUAGCUAUCGAAGAAUACCUGAAAAAGAAGCACAAAACUAGAAGCACCGGGAGGACUGUCUGGUGGCGAUCAAGCUGCUCAGUCGCGACAAGACCUACCUGAACGAGACGGUCCGGGAGCAGCAGCUGGCUUGUUUGCUCGGUUUGGCAGGGAUCGGUGGCGAAAGCUGCCAGUGCCGAGCGAGCGAAGAGGUCCAGGUGGAAGCGUUGAAGUGCUUGAGCAAUUUGAUUUUCCAGAGCAGCAAGUGCCAGGAGGGCCAGAAGCUGUGUCUGAACAAUUCUUCCACCGAGGGCAUUAUGCGGAGGAUCAAAACUUACAAGGACGGAAAUGUUUGCUAUGAUAUUAGAUACUUUGAUAUGAAGUUGCUGUUCCUACUAACGGCAAUCAACUGUGAUAUUCGAGCGAA